CGCCGUCUCACUCGUCCAAUCUCCCUCCCGCCAACUCACUAACUCGGUCUCCCGCCCACCGACUCACUCACUCACCUGGCCUCUGUAUCCUCAGGGGCUCUCUACCAUCUCUUGACUUUCCCUCUAUCAGUGCUGGGAUCUGCAAGUUACCCUCCAUCUCUCCCUCUCUCUCUUGGUUUGGAUUACAGCUCUGCCCUCCAUUCUUCUCCCUCUCUCCCCCUGGGAAUGGAGAGCAGAGCUGUAAUC